rnacentral:rRNA from 1 species
UACGUAGGGCGCAAGCGUUUGUCCGGAAUUAUUGGGCGUAAAGAGCUCGUAGGCGGUCUGUCGCGUCGGAUGUGAAAGCCCGGGGCUUAACCCCGGGUCUGCAUUCGAUACGGGCAGACUAGAGUGUGGUAGGGGAGAUCGGAAUUCCUGGUGUAGCGGUGAAAUGCGCAGAUAUCAGGAGGAACACCGGUGGCGAAGGCGGGUCUCUGGGCCAUACUGACGCUGAGGAGCGAAAGCGUGGGGAGCGAACAGG